GACAGAGGUGCCGAGCGUUAGGCGGAAUCACUGGGCUUAAAGCGUGUGUAGGCAGACUCGUAAGUGCUUUGUGAAAUCCCACGGCUCACCCGUGGAACUGCUUGGCAUACUGCGAGCCUUGAGCCACUUAGGGGCAACCGGAACAAACGGUGGAGCGGUGAAAUGCGUAGAUAUCGUUUGGAACGCCAAUGGUGAAAACAGGUUGCUGGGAGUGCGCUGACGCUGAGACACGAAAGCCAGGGGAGCGAACGGG
rnacentral:rRNA from 1 species